rnacentral:rRNA from 1 species
GACGAACGCUGGCGGCGCGCCUAACACAUGCAAGUCGAACGAGCGAGAGAGAGCUUGCUUUCUCAAGCGAGUGGCGAACGGGUGAGUAACGCGUGAGGAACCUGCCUCAAAGAGGGGGACAACAGUUGGAAACGACUGCUAAUACCGCAUAAUGUAUCCGGGGGGCAUCUCCUGGAUACCAAAGGAGAAAUCCGCUGAUGGAUGGGCUCACGUCUGAUUAGCUAGUUGGUGAGGUAACGGCUCACCAAGGCUGCGAUCAGUAGCCGGACUGAGAGGUUGAACGGCCACAUUGGGACUGAGAUACGGCCCAA